GCCUGGGUGGCUCAGUAGGUUAAGCGUCCGACUUCGGCUCAGGUCAUGAUCUCACGGUUCGUGGGUUCGAGCCCCGCGUCGGGCU
rnacentral:tRNA from 1 species